rnacentral:tRNA from 1 species
GCCGUCGUAGCUCAGUGGUAGAGCACUUCCAUGGUAAGGAAGGGGUCUCGGGUUCAAAUCCCGAUGACGGCU